rnacentral:rRNA from 1 species
GUCGAACGCUGGCGGCGUGCUUAACACAUGCAAGUCGAACGGAAAGGCCCUGCUUUUGUGGGGUGCUCGAGUGGCGAACGGGUGAGUAACACGUGAGUAACCUGCCCUUGACUUUGGGAUAACUUCAGGAAACUGGGGCUAAUACCGGAUAGGAGCUCCUGCUGCAUGGUGGGGGUUGGAAAGUUUCGGCGGUUGGGGAUGGACUCGCGGCUUAUCAGCUUGUUGGUGGGGUAGUGGCUUACCAAGGCUUUGACGGGUAGCCCGCCUGGGAGGGUGACCGGCCACAUUGGGACUGAGAUACGGCCCAGACUCCUACGGGAGGCAGCAGUGGGGAAUAUUGCACAAUGGGCGGAAGCCUGAUGCAGCAACGCCGCGUGCGGGAUGACGGCCUUCGGGUUGUAAACCGCUUUCGCCUGUGACGAAGCGUGAGUGACGGUAAUGGGUAAAGAAGCACCGACUAACUACGUG